ACACAUGCAGUCGAGGGGUAACAGAUCUUCGGAUGCUGACGACCGGCGAACGGGUGAGUAACACGUAUGCAACUUACCCAUAACUCGGGAAUAGCCCAAAGAAAUUUGGAUUAAUACCCAAUAAUACAGGCGUACCGCAUGGUAUUCUUCGUUAAAGAAUAAUCGGUUAUGGAUAGGCAUGCGUUCUAUUAGGUAGUUGGUGAGGUAACGGCUCACCAAGCCGACGAUGGAUAGGGGAACUGAGAGGUUGUCCCCCCACACUGGUACUGAGACACGGACCAGACUCCUACGGGAGGCAGCAGUGAGGAAUAUUGGUCAAUGGACGAAAGUCUGAACCAGCCAAAUCGCGUGAAGGAAGAAGGUAUUAUGUAUCGUAAACUUCUUUUGUAAGAGAGUAAAGUGCACUACGUGUAGUGUAUUGCAAGUACCUUACGAAUAAGCAUCGGCUAAUUCCGUGCCAGCAGCCGCGGUAAUACGGAAGAUGCAAGUGUUAUCCGGAUUUAUUGGGUUUAAAGGGUGCGUAGGUGGUCUAAUAAGUCAGUGGUGAAAUCUCUUUGCUUAACAAGGAAAUUGCCAUUGAAACUGUUAGACUUGAGAAUGGACGAGGUAGGCGGAAUUCGUAGUGUAGCGGUGAAAUGCAUAGAUAUUACGAAGAACUCCAAUAGUGUAGACUGCUUACCAGACCAUAUCUGACACUAAGGCACGAAAGUGUGGGUAUCAAACAGGAUUAGAUACCCUGGUAGUCCACACAGUAAACGAUGAAUACUAACUGUUUGCGAUAUACAGCAAGUGGUCGAGCGAAAGCGUUAAGUAUUCCACCUGGGAAGUAUGCCGGCAACGGUGAAACUCAAGGAAUUGACGGGGGCCCGCACAAGCGGAGGAACAUGUGGUUUAAUUCGAUAAUACGCGAGGAACCUUACCCG
rnacentral:rRNA from 1 species